CACUUCACGUCGCAUAAUAUACUCUCCACUUUCCUUAUACGGUAAUCAAUUGGUUUUAUUAAUUCCCCGAGAACCUUUUUAGCUAGUAACGGUCCAUCAGCAAUACCCACUAGUACCCUCUUGGUUCAGUGCUAUGAGUGCUGCCGUCGUUAGCAAAAGGAGGUGACCAAUGUCAUAAAUAAUAGAGUAAAAUUCAAUAAAUUAUUAAAUUAAAUUAAAUUCAAACCCUUUUAGAUAUUAAUUACCCUUUUAGAUUUAAUUGUUGAUGAACAAUUAAAGAGAAUAUUUAAGCUAGUCGGUACACCCACAGAGAGGUCGUGGCCUGGUCUAACUAAACUUCCAGAGUUUAAGGAGUUCCCACCAUAUCCUCCAGCAUGUAUUGAGUCAGUAGUACCAGCACUGAACGAUGCCGAGUGGACUUACUUCAGCGUCACUUGAUAUGUCACCCAACUGAGAGGAUAUCAGCAGAAGAGGCUAUGAGACACGAGUACUUUGCUGAUAUUGAUCCAUCACUGAGAGCUUGAUGUGCAUAGAAGGAAGAUGGAGCUGCUUUCUUUCACAACAUUGAUCACAAUGAUACAUGUAUUUUGAACUUAUUUUAUUUUCAUCAUUCCUCUUUACCUUCUUUCACUAAUGGACAGUUAAAUCGAUAUUUUUUGUCCUCUAACUACAAUUAUUAUCAUUACUAAA